CCUACGGGAGGCAGCAGUAGGGAAUUUUCGGCAAUGGGGGGAACCCUGACCGAGCAACGCCGCGUGAAGGAAGAAGGAAUUCGUUCUGUAAACUUCUGUUAUAAAGGAAGAAAGACGGAUGGAGGAAAUGACAUCCGAGUGACGGUACUUUAUGAGAAAGCCACGGCUAACCACGUGCCAGCGGCCGCGGUAAUACGUGGGUGGCAAGCGUUAUCCGGAUUUAUGGGGCGUAAAGAGGGAGCAGGGGGCAGCGAAGGUCUGUGGUGAAAGACGGAAGCUAAACUUCAGUAAGCAAUAGAAAACGGGCAGCUAGAGUGCAGGAGAGGAUCGUGGAAUUCGAUGUGUAGCGGUGAAAUGCGUAGAUAUAUGGAGGAACACCAGUGGCGAAGGCGACGAUCUGGCCUGCAACUGACGCUCAGUCCCGAAAGCGUGGGGAGCAAAUAGGAUUAGAUACCCGGGUAGUC
rnacentral:rRNA from 1 species